GCAGUUGAAACUGGCGUGCUUGAGUUCGGUCGAGGCAGGCGGAAUUCGUGGUGUAGCGGUGAAAUGCUUAGAUAUCACGAAGAACCCCGAUUGCGAAGGCAGCUUGCCAGGCCUGGACUGACGUUGAGGCUCGAAGGUGCGGGUAUCGAACAGGAUUAGAUACCCUGGUAGUCCGCACGGUAAACGAUGGAUACUCGCUGUCGGCGAUACACGGUCGGCGGCCAAGCGAAAGCGUUAAGUAUCCCACCUGGGGAGUACGCCGGCAACGGUGAAACUCAAAGGAAUUGACGGGGGCCCGCACAAGCGGAGGAACAUGUGGUUUAAUUCGAUGAUACGCGAGGAACCUUACCCGGGCUUGAACUGCAGCGGAAUGAUUUGGAAACAGAUCAGCGAGCAAUCGCCGCUGUGGAGGUGCUGCAUGGUUGUCGUCAGCUCGUGCCGUGAGGUGUCGGCUUAAGUGCCAUAACGAGCGCAACCCUUACCGAUAGUUGCCAUCAGGUGACGCUGGGGACUCUAUCGGGACUGCCGUCGUAAGAUGUGAGGAAGGUGGGGAUGACGUCAAAUCAGCACGGCCCUUACGUCCGGGGCUACACACGUGUUACAAUGGGGGGUACAGCAGGCCGCUACCGGGCGACCGGAUGCCAAUCCCUAAAACCCCUCUCAGUUCGGACUGGAGUCUGCAACCCGACUCCACGAAGCUGGAUUCGCUAGUAAUCGCGCAUCAGCCACGGCGCGGUGAAUACGUUCCCGGGCCUUGUACACACCGCCCGUCAAGCCAUGAAAGCCGGGGGUACCUGAAGUGCGUAACCGCAAGGAGCGCCCUAGGGUAAAACUGGUGAUUGGGGCUAAGUCGUAACAAGGUAACCA
rnacentral:rRNA from 1 species